rnacentral:rRNA from 1 species
AACGAACGCUGGCGGCAUGCCUAACACAUGCAAGUCGAACGAGACCUUCGGGUCUAGUCGCGCACGGGUGCGUAACGCGUGGGAACCUGCCCUUAGGUUCGGAAUAACUCUCCGAAAGGGGUGCUAAUACCGGAUAAUGUCUUCGGACCAAAGAUUUAUAGCCUUUGGAUGGGCCCGCGUUGGAUUAGCUAGUUGGUAGGGUAAAAGCCUACCAAGGCGACGAUCCAUAGCUGGUCUGAGAGGAUGAUCAGCCACACUGGGACUGAGACACGGCCCAGACUCCUACGGGAGGCAGCAGUGGGGAAUAUUGGACAAUGGGCGAAAGCCUGAUCCAGCAAUGCCGCGUGAGUGAUGAAGGCCUUAGGGUUGUAAAGCUCUUUUACCCGGGAUGAUAAUGACAGUACCGGGAGAAUAAGCUCCGGCUAACUCCGUG